AGGGCUGUAGCUCAGUGGUAGAGCAUCUGCUUUGCAUGCAAAGGUUCCAGGUUUAAUCUCUAGUAUCUCUG